AACAACUCGCCAGAAUCAAAGUGUUUCCGUUCAAUUUGUCCGGAAAACACUUGCCUCUAUCGAAUCUAUUUCGAACCAAACCCCCACCUUUAGAACUCGCCGGAAGAUUUGGCCGGAAAACAUCUGCCCCCGUCGAAACUACCUUUGACCAGUCCGCACCCUUAGAUCUCGCCGGAAGAACGUAAGUUCCCCGCAGUCGACGUUCUCGCCAGAAAACCGUGGUUGAAGGACGCAAGGGCUGAAGAUCCUCCAUUAUUAACGAAUGCCGAAGGGCUGGGGUUCUUCAAGAACUUUGCGGCGGCAAAGAGAAAUUGGUGAUGGAGGAGGAGAUAUUCAUGAAGGCGGAGAGAGAAUAACCUCUGCUAUGGACGGUAUCACCGGCGAGAAGAGUGGAUGAGGCAGUUGGUGGUAGAAAAGGGGAGGCGGUGGAAGAAGUUUGGGGAAGAAGAC
rnacentral:lncRNA from 1 species